rnacentral:rRNA from 1 species
AGAGUUUGAUCAUGGCUCAGAACGAACGCUGGCGGCGUGGAUUAGGCAUGCAAGUCGAACGUGAAAGUGCCAAAGGGGCACCCGGAGGCGCGAGUAAAGUGGCGAACGGGUGAGUAACGCGUGGGAAACCUGCUCCAAAGUGGGGGAUAACAGUUCUAACGGACUGCUAAUACCGCAUGAAGCUACGGGUCGUAUGACUUCGUAGUUAAAGGAGGCCUCUGUUUCAAGCUUUCGCUUAGGAAUGGUCCCGCGUCCUAUUAGCUUGUUGGUGGGGUAACGGCCUACCAAGGCAACGAUGGGUAGCCGGCCUGAGAGGGUGGUCGGCCACACUGGGACUGAGAUACGGCCCAGACUCCUACGGGAGGCAGCAGUCGAGAGGCUUCGGCAAUGGGGGAAACCCUGACCGAGCGACGCCGCGUGGGUGAUGAAGAUUCUCGGAUCGUAAAACCCUGUCAGGUGGGAUGAAAUACCAUUCGGUUAACACCCGAGUGGCUUGACAGUACCACCAGAGGAAGCUCCGGCUAACUCCGUGCCAGCAGCCGCGGUAACACGGGGGGAGCAAGCGUUGUUCGGAUUCAUUGGGCGUAAAGAGCUCGUAGGCGGCUCUGUAAGUCGGAGGUGAAAGACCACAGCUCAACUGUGGAAACGCCUUCGAAACUGCGGAGCUUGAGGCCGGGAGAGGAAAUCGGAAUUCCUGGUGUAGCGGUGAAAUGCGUAGAUAUCAGGAGGAACACCGGUGGCGAAGGCGGAUUUCUGGACCGGUUCUGACGCUCAGGAGCGAAAGCCAGGGGAGCAAACAGGAUUAGAUACCCUGGUAGUCCUGGCUGUAAACGAUGGGCACUAGGUGUGGGGGGAUCGACCCCUUCCGUGCCGCAGUUAACGCAUUAAGUGCCCCGCCUGGGGAGUACGACCGCAAGGUUGAAACUCAAAUGAAUUGACGG